rnacentral:rRNA from 1 species
GACGACGAGGUAGAUAGGGCAGAGGUGGAAGUGUGGUAACACAUGGAGCUGACUGUUACUAAUAGGUCGAGGGCAUAACCAA